UUUUUUUUUCUUUAUCUUUUUUAACAGAAAUGGGAAUCAAUGAAUUUAUGUUGGCAUGUGUGGUAAUUUUUUUCACCUCUCUUCUUUAUUUGCAAAAUGGAGAGACUAUUACCUUACUUAGUUGUCCUCAGUCUUGACUGCACAUUGAAAUCCCAAGGGGACCAUUUACAGCUUCUAAUGCCCAAGCGCCAGAGUCCAAAUACAUGAGGAUCUUGGGUGGAACCUGGAGGUGUUAUAUUUUACAGUGCCUCCAGGUGACUCUCAGGCAUGCAAGGCUGAGCUGGUGGUCUCCUCGGCGAUGCUGUGGGGUUAGAUGACGUAGCAUCUGUAAAGCACUUCGCAGACUAUCAGGCAUGCAAUUAGCAUGCAGCAACUGGCCCAUGCCUUGCUUUGGGAAGAGGGUCCACAGAGCAGGAGAGGAAGAGGAAGAAGAAAGGCGCCCCAGGUGGGUGGCAGGCUGAGCAAUGCCCCACACAGGAGUUCCAGGUGGAUCUCAUGGAUCUGUGUGACUGCAGCACAACUGGGGGUGGGGCAAGAAAUGUGGAAAAGGUGGGCAGAGCCAGUCAUGGAGGCUUCGAACUUCGGCUUCAUCUUGUAGGAGAUCAGGAGCCACCGGACGGGAUCCGCGUGCUUGAAGGAAAGCGUUUUCUUGGGGAAGCCAGGGUGGGGAAACCUCCUUACAUCUGUGCAGGAGUCCUAUGUCUCGUGGGCUGAUGCGGGCCAUGUGGGGUGUGUGGAACAUAAAAUCCCCGGGGUCGGAAUCUUGUCUUGCUCUGUGUUGUAUCCCUAGUGCUAGAACCAUGCUGGGCACAUAGUAGGCACUUGGCAGAGGGUAUUGAUUGGGAGAAUACAUGAAGGACAAAAAACCCAAAUGAAGGAGAAGCUCAGCAGAGGCGGGGGCGGGGGGGAACGGACUGCAGGACCAGCCUUGUGAAAGCAGAAUCCCACUCCCAGCUCUGCACUGACCUGCUGGUGCCCCUGGACAAGCCAUAUCCCUUCUUGGCCUCUGUUUCUGCUGCUUAAAUGGAGGGCAGGGCCCUUCUAGCUCUAAUGUCCACCAAUAAUUAAAUGCUUCUGGUCCUGAAUGAGUUUCUGACCUUCCUACUGACACACCAGGUCCUAGGUGGAAGCUCCAUCAGAAGCCUUUGUGUUUCCCUGAGUUCUGGAAGCCGGGCCCCAGGAGGCAGAGUUGCGGCAACUCAUCCUGGCUGCUAGGAAACCCAGGCUUGGAGGGAAGGCAGCUUGCCCCUGUGGCUGAUGACCUUAUUAGCAGUGAUUGGACCAGAUCCUCUGAAGUCCUUUUCCGGGCUGUAGGUCCAAGUGCUGUGAUGGUGGGAGGGAGGUCUUCCCAGGCAGGGAAGGGGCACUGGCCGGGGUGGGGAAGUCUGGCUCCUAGUCUCGGCUGCUGUGCCUCCCCUCUGGGAAAGUCAUCUAAUCUGUUUGUAUGUUAGUUUCCUUAGUUGUAAAACGAGGAAUUUUUAUUAAGUUAACUCUAACAGACCAUUUUCGGUUUUCAACUCCUAUGAUUUCAUAGCGUGCUCUCGGGUUUCUUUUAUCUCCAUGUAUCUUUGUUUCUAAAAGAUCCAGGCCUCGAUGACACCUUUUCCUCCCUGGUACUUUCAGCCCACGAGAGAAUCUAAAAGCUGACUCUGCACCUCCGGGUGCUGCCGAGCCUUUUGCACAGAAAGAGGAGAAAGCUGGAUAGUUUUUUUUUUUUUUUCUUUUGCUUCUUCGUUAACAGAUAUUUUUAGCUUUUCUAAAAGCUUCUCAUUCUGAGCCUUAAAAAGAAAUAAGAACCUGUUCCAAAAAUGCAAAUUCUCUGGCAAGAAGCAAGAGGGGUGUUUUCAAUCUUCCCUGAACGAUUGUUUUCUCUCCCACAGACCCUCGUGGUGCAGCAAGGGGCAGCUGGGGUGCGGGAGGAAGUGGGAGGGUGAGGCUGUGGCCAGCAGGAGCCCAGCCCCAGGGUGCCAGCCUGGACUGGGACUUUGCACUGGGGACUUGCUUUCUGCAAUCAGGCACUUUUUCAAGUUGGUUCUGAACAGUUCUGUACUGGAUGGCGGGCUGCUGUAUGUGAUUGAGAAUGUUGCCUGUCUGAGCCCUGAGAUGAGCUGAGGGUUCCUCCUCCCCAGCCAGUGCCAGCCUCACAUAGCCCUUGUAAAUCUGAAAGUGCUGUUGGUAGCAACCAGGGAUGGGCAGAGGCAGCCCUGUCCUGAGGGUGACAUGAAAGUGAGAGCAAGCUGACGGUCCAGUUGCCUUAGUCCUCAAAAGUGUCACGUUCAGAUUGUAUCCUUCAACUUUAAAAUGUCCUUCUUUGGAGUCCAUCUUGCUCUGCCCAUUAUUGGGCCCCGGUGGUCACUUCCUCCUCUGUGCUCCUGUGGCCUGGGAUUCACACCAGGAAAGAACGCCACGAAGAAGGAACGAUAAUGAAGAGAAGAGUCUGGAGUCACCGCGCAGGCUGCACUGAGAAGGAAAGAGACUGGAAGCAGGAGCCCGCUGGAACUCACCAAAGUUGUUGGUGUGGGUCAACAGGGUGGUUUCAAUGGGAUCAGAAAUGGUUGAGACAGCACCUAUCAUGAGGAGGGAGAGCGUCUGUCAUGAGGAGGGAAGCCAGAGAGAAGAGCCAGUCUGCGGACUCCUGCAGCACGCUUCUCCCAUUUUCUAUCCCCCACCUCACACACAAACCAGCUGUUUUAUAUGAGUGGAAAUGGGAACCCAAACGCCAUUAUUGACAAAGACAAUAAAGUGCAUUUGAGCUGGAAAUGACCUAGAGACAUCAGUAGCACGUCCUGUUUAUUAAAAAGUAACACAUAAGCAGCACGUGUUCGCGAUAAAACACUCAGACAGCAGACAGGGUUCAAGUUGAGGGCCCCAAUGCCUGCUGGACAUUCCGGAAGCAUGGACACAGGUAGACGCAGUACGCUGAUGGUGAGAAAACCACAGAGCCUUGUCUCAUGGAGCUUUUGGGUCUAUGGGGAAGACAAGCAACCAAACAAGCAAUGGCCAUCAAGUGAGGCAGAUGCUGUGACAGAGGAGGCCCACAGUGUCUUACCUCACUAGAGGAGGGGACAGGGAAGGCUUCCCAGAGAAGGACAACUCGAGUCCAGAGCUUCAAAGCUACAUCUCAGCUGGCUAGGUCUAAAGGAGGCAUGGCUAGUCCAGGCUGAAGGAAAAGGCAAGAGGCACAUUCUGCUCCGAAAAAAAAUUAAAGGAAGGGUGAAGGAAGAGAGAGGAAGGGAGGUAAUGAAGAGAAGGAGAAAGAGAGAAAAGAAGGAAGGAAGCUCAUUUUGGCUAAAAUGUAGAGUUAGACGGUGGGGUAGUGUGCAAAGAGAGAUGAAGUUUGCAAGGGAGGUAGAGGCCAGGUGAGAAAGAACCUGGGGGCCCUUCUCAUGGAUUCAACGUGACCUAAGAGGAAGGGGAAGCCACUAAAGAGUUUCCUGCAGGGACAGUGUGUCCAGAUGUGUUUUAGAAGGCUCGCUUAUGCUGCCACGGGGAGUCUGGAUUAGAGUAGAAGCGAAGUCCAUCAGCUGGCUACACGGGAAUUCAAGUGGGGAUUGGGGUAGUGACAGCGGAGAGAAGUGGACCCUUGUAGAGGAGUAGAAUCGACAGGUCUGGUAUUUAAUUCAAGGUAGGAUGAGGGUCAAGGAAUGUCAAAGACAACUUCUCUUCCUGGCUCAGGAAGCAGCCCCGAGAUACACUUUACAAUAAAUCAUGUCUCUUAGUAACCACAGGAGCAAAGUGAAAAUGAGUUAGUUUAGAAGUGAGAAUGAGGUUCUGUUGGGUUUUAAGUGAAGUAGUGUUUAUAUUUGAAUCAUAUUUGAAUCAUAUUUUCCAUUUUCAGUUCUUCACUUGUUUCAUUCACACAAUGCAUUUUUAAUGGUUCUGAAUGGACUUUUUAGUUGGGAUGUUGAUUUGGGAUUAUGAUGAAAAUAAUUCCCUUACAUAUAAUAAUUGGUUAUAUAAUACCUUAUUCAAUGAAUUUUCUCAGAUGCAUAUAGCAUGCUGAGGGCUGAUGUAAAUACAUCUGAAUGAAAAGUAUACUAAAGACAGGCAAGGUGGUGCCCAGUAAUUUACUGGGAAAAGAAUAGUGUCCCUGGGGAGACCCUUUACUACUUCCCAGUGUCUACUGGGGCUAACUGAAAAUAUUCAUUAGGAAAAUACAUGAGAGAAAGAAAAAAAAGGAAAACACGAUGUUAACACGUGUGUGCAUGAGGGACGGAAGGGUGAUGAAGAUAAAUGGAAAGAACUUUUGUUCUGUCUUUCAGCUUUGUUGAGGUUUAAUUGGCAAUUAAAAUUGUAUAUAUUUAUGGUGUACAAUGUGAUGUUUUGAUAUAAGUAUAUGUUGUGAAAUGAUUGCCAAAAUCUAGCUAAUAAAUAUACGUAUAACCUCAUACAGUUACCAUUUGUUUGCAGUGAGAAUACUUGAGAUCUACUCUAUUAACAAAUUUCAAGUACAUAAUACAUUAUUAUUUACUGUAGUUAUCUGCUGUACAUUAGAACUCCAGGUAGUGCUCAUCUUUUAUUUAUUUAUUUAUUUAUUUAUUUAUUUAGAGACAAGGUUUCUUUCUAUUGACCAGG